rnacentral:rRNA from 1 species
CCUAUCCUACGGGAGGCAGCAGUGAGGAAUACAGGACAAUGGAGGCAACUCCGAUCCAGCCAUGCCGCUUGAAGGAAGACGGCCCUAUGGGUUGUAAACUACUUUUAUACAGGAAGAAACGUUAGAUAGUGUACUAGCCUGACG